rnacentral:rRNA from 1 species
AACGCUGGCGGCAUGGCUAAAACAUGCAAGUCGAGCGCGAAAGUCCCUUCGGGGGCGAGUAGAGCGGCGAAAGGACUAGUAAUGCGUUUCUAUGUACCCCAUGGUCGGGGAUAGCCCGGGGAAACCCGGAUUAAUACCCGACGCCCUCUUCGGAGGAAAGAUUUAUCGCCAUGGGAGCAGGGAACGUCCUAUCAGGUAGUUGGUGAGGUAAUAGCUCACCAAGCCUUAGACGGGUAGCGGGUGAGAGAGCAUGACCCGCAGUAUCGGGACUGAGACACUGCCCGGACUCCUACGGGAGGCUGCAGUAACGAAUAUUCCGCAAUGCACGAAAGUGUGACGGAGCAAUGCCGCGUGCAGGAUGAAUCCCCUCGGGGUGUAAACUGCUGUCAGUGACUAGAAAAAAAAUGAUCAGUCGCAAAGGAAGGACCGGCUAAUCUCGUGCCAGCAGCCGCGGUAAUACGAGAGGUCCGAGCGUUACGCGGAAUUACUGGGCUUAAAGCGUACGUAGGCGGAUCUACAGGUAUCCUGUGAAAGCCCACGGCUCAACCGUGGAAU